CACCCCUCAAGCCCACCCACCCCAGGGUGCUUGGUGUUGGGGGCCGGCCGGGAGAGCCCGCGCCGCCCCCGAAAUGCAGUGGCGCCCCCGCCGCAGCCUCCCCUGCGCAGUAGCACACCUCGCACCGGAGCGCGGAGGCGGUCACGCCGUAAAACGCCCCAACUCUCACG
rnacentral:misc_RNA from 1 species